ensembl:misc_RNA Metazoa_SRP Metazoan signal recognition particle RNA
GCUGGGGGUGGUGGCGCACACCUGUAGUCCAGCUACUCAGGAGGCUGAAGUGGGAGGAUCGCUUGAGCCCAGGAGUCCAAGGCUACAGUGAGCUAUGAUCAUGUCACUGUACUCUGGCCUGGGCAACGGAGCAAGACCUUGUCUCUA